GUGAAUCAUCGAGUCUUUGAACGCACCUUGCGCUCUUUGGUAUUCCAAAGAGCAUGCCUGUUUGAGUGUCAUGAAAUUCUCAAGUCUGUAGAUUUUUUAAUCUGCAUUGACCUGGACUUGGAGGUUGUGUCGGCUUCAUCCGUCGACUCCUCUGAAAUGCAUUAGCGCGAACGUUUACAAAUUCAGUGUGAUAAUUAUCUGCGCUGUCAUUGUUAACUGUCUCCUGCUUUACCGUCUUUUUAAAGACAAUUUUUGACAUCUGACCUCAAAUCAGGUAGGACUACCCGCUGAACUUAAGCAUAUCAAUAAGCGGAGG
rnacentral:rRNA from 1 species